rnacentral:rRNA from 1 species
GAUGAACGCUGGCGGCGUGCCUAACACAUGCAAGUCGAGCGAACGGACGACUUGCGUGCUUUUCUGAUGGCGGCGGCGUGCGUAAGAGUAACACAUGGAUCACCUACCUAUGGGACAGGGAUAACUUCCUGUAACCAGAGCCAAUACGGGAUACUAUUUUCAACGGCGGGGUUCAAAAGCUUAAGCGGGUCUUGCUGUCCCUUAUAGAUGGAUCCGGGCUGCAUUAGCUAGUUGGUAAGGUAACGGCUUACCAAGGCGACGAUGGAUAGCCGACCUGAGAGGGUGAUCGGCCACACUGGGACUGAGACACGGUCCAGACUCCUACGGGAGGCAGCAGUAGGGAAUGUUGGGCAAUGGGCGAAAGCCUGACGGAGCAACGCCGCGUGAAUGAUGAAGGUCUUCGGAUCGUAAAACUCUGUUAUUAGGGAAGAACAUAUGUGUAAGGAGCUGUGCACGUCGUGACGGUACCUAAACAGAAAGCACCGGCUAACUACGUG